GCGGUAUUGUGACCGUGCGAAGGUAGCAUAAUCAUUAGUCUUUUNAAUUAAAGGCUUGUAUGAAUGGUUGAACGAGGAAUAAGCUGUCUCUAUUAGGCUAGUUGAACUUAACUUUUAAGUGAAAAGGCUUAAAUGAUCUAGAGGGACGAUAAGACCCUAUAAAGUUUUACAUCACAUCUAUUAUAAAAUGGGUUGGAUAAAAAAGAUUUGCUAGUAGUUCGANUGUUUUGUUGGGGUGACAAGAAUAUAAGGGAUGUAACUGUUCUUUANNAAAACCAAAUAUAUUUGUUUAAGUGAUCUUGAAUUUUAAGUGCUAGAAUAAAUUACUUUAGGGNAUAACAGCNGUUAUUUUUUUUAANGAGUUCUUAUCAACAAAAAAGUUUGCNGACCUCGAUGUUGAAUUAAAGGNCUCU
rnacentral:rRNA from 1 species